rnacentral:rRNA from 1 species
CUACGGGAGGCACCAGUGAGGAAUAUUGCACAAUGGGGGGAACCCUGAUGCAGCAACGCCGCGUGGAGGAUGACGCAUUUCGGUGUGUAAACUCCUUUUAUAUGUCAAGAAAAUGACGGUAGCAUAUGAAUAAGCACCGGCUAACUCCGUGCCAGCAGCCGCGGUAAUACGGAGGGUGCAGAGCGUUACUCGGAAUCACUGGGCGUAAAGGACGCGUAGGCGGGUUGGAAAGUCAGGUGUGAAAUCCUACAGCUUAACUGUAGAACUGCACUUGAAACUUCUAAUCUAGAGUAUGGGAGGGGGAGAUGGAAUUAGUGGUGUAGGGGUAAAAUCCGUAGAUAUCACUAGGAAUACCUAAAGCGAAGGCGAUCUCCUGGAACAUUACUGACGCUGAGGCGUGAAAGCGUGGGGAGCAAACAGGAUUAGAUACCCCGGUAGUC